UACGAAGGGAGCUAGCGUUGUUCGGAAUCACUGGGCGUAAAGCGCGCGUAGGUGGCCCGGUAAGUCCGCUCUGAAAGUCACAGGCUCAACCUGUGAAAGCGGGUGGAUACUGCCGGGCUAGAGUCCGGAAGAGGCGAGUGGAAUUCCUGGUGUAGCGGUGGAAUGCGCAGAUAUCAGGAGGAACACCAACGGCGAAGGCAGCUCGCUGGGACGGUACUGACACUGAGGCGCGAAAGCGUGGGGAGCGAACAGG
rnacentral:rRNA from 1 species